GUGCUCUAUCCAAUCAAAUGUGCCAUCUAUCAAUUCAAAACAUAAAUUCAUUUAAAAAGCAAGAACAGUGACCAUAAAAGUAACAACAAACAAAGCACUGGUUCGUGAUGUUAGAGAUGGGGCUAUUGGAGCCAUACUUGGGACUAAACUAAAUGAACCAUUAUGUUAAUAUCAAGCCACUCCCUGCAUUUAUGUAACAGAGAGGGGAAGACUCCAUUCUUGAACCUAAACCACACUCCUGUCGACAAUGGACUCAUAAAUGGGAAAUAAUCCCUCAAAAUGCAAACAGGUCCUUCAUUACCUACUGCGUCCUUAACUUGCCAAGCAAGUGUCAUUUGCAAUAGAGAUUUCAAUAUUAUCUUAAUUCUCAGGCAUUUAUCAGGGACUCCUGGAGACAAAGGCACAUAUUUCUCUUUAUCUAGCUCUGACCUAGUUCUGACCAUCGUCCCCAUCCAAACAGCAAGAGAAAUCUAAAGUUGUAAUACAUUAUUUAACAGGAUGAACCAGUAAUUCAGACUACAGGAAAAAAGCAGUAAGACAGUUCAGAAAAGCUUAAAAAUCUUGAAGUCUGUUCCAUGAAGGAAAGGGUCACAACGAAUGUCGGCACAGGUACUUGGAGGAAAGUGGGUAGAGAGGGCCAUACUGAGAUACUGCAUAAAACAAAUAUGCAUAAAAGAAACAGAAAACCUUGUCUCACUUUCUCGGUUUCAUGCACCUGGAUUCUGUUGUUUAUUUUACCCAAGUACUUCACAAACCUGAUGCCAACAGCAACUGUGAAAUGGAAGCAACUCUACAAAUUAUUGCCAUCAUGAGACUAUCAUUAGGUCUACAUAGCUCAAGCUUCACUUGGAGUUCAAUUGUGUGAUUCAGAAGCACAGCUAGGAUAAGUCAGAGACUGGAAAGGGGAAGAGGAGAGACGUGCAGGAGUAUGUGUGGGAGGCAGCAUCUGCCUGGGAUGAGGGCACCUCCCCUCUUGUCAUGAAACUCCCCACCCUUUUCCCUGAAAACCCCAGCUUGCCCUAUAUCACAGGUGCAAGAAUUCCUCCAUAAAGGCCCACUCCAGAUGGUCAUGAUAAGUCAGUGGAAAACACACAAAGUCUUCUCCAAUGUUUAGGGCCAGUAGUGUCAGUUGUCAUGCCUUGGCAACUGGGUUACAUUUUAUGGUCCAGUUCUAAUCAGAUGGUAGUAAGUCCCCAUAGGAUUGUGCUGGGGAGAAUUGUGAAGCCAAUCCUUCAAUCACAGAAAGAGAUCCUGAUAGGUUUCUGGUAUCGGCCAUCAGAUAGGAAAGUGGGUAUUAGCAAUACAUAUGCCAUGCAUUAAUUAUCUUUGCCCUACUGACAUGUUUUACUUAAUGUCCAAGGACGCUUCUUUGGAGUGGCCAUAUAAUUUAUUAUCCAAACAAGAAAACAUAGGUGGGUUAAGGGGAUGGGUGGAGUCGUAUUACAUGAUUAUGCUAAGGACACAAAUAAAAAG
rnacentral:lncRNA from 10 species